AACACAUAAAUCGUUCCUUUUGUAGCGAUAAGGUCAGAAUUUAUUCUACUUUGAUGCAUAAAAGUAGAACACUGGCCUUGUUCUUGGUUGUAUUCGGUUGCAACUGACACUUGACAUUUUUUUUUUUCUCAGCUUAUGUUGGCAUGAGUGCCAAUUGUGAAUCGAAAUGAUACUCUAGAAGACACGCGUUAGAGAGCUAGGGUUGCGUUUCAUCCCUUUAGCCAGUCCACUUGGGAUCCGGCCAACAAUUCUGCCAGUAGGAUACUUUAGAUCUGGUUGUUCAUCAUACUUGUAAUGGCAUAUAUAUAUAUAUAUGAUCUCUUUCUGAUACAUGCAUAUCCUUUGUUUAUAGUGAUGAAUCCUUCUUAUUGGCCUAGUAAAUAAAUAAAUAAAUCAUCUGUGCUUAACUUAGACUUUAUUAAAUAUAAAGCCAGGACAAUCUAGUGCUACAGGAAAGUUUGACAUGAGUCACGUGAUGUUCCCUCAAAACAGAAGCUGAAAGUGCAAUUUAAAAUCCCACUGGAAAUAACUAGCUAGGUUUUAUGAUAAGAUAUUUGAGCUCAUGAAAUCCCUUUAAUCAUCUUCGGAAACUAGAAAACACUCUGUUGACAUUAAUGAUCUUGUUGCCAAAUUUUGCUAGAUGAUCUUUGCUGACGUCUUUAGGUAAGCGAAUUCUGUAGCAGACUCUGUGGCCAAGCAAGGCGAAUGGAGUAGUGAUUUUGUGGUCUGGUUUAUGUGAAAGAAUCAGUUCAACUCAAAAAAUUAAUCUAUGUAAGGCCUUAUUAAUGGUUUUAUAUUGAAUUUCUAACGGUUUACUGCAGAAAAUUAUGCAGUUUUGAUCAAUUCAAUGCCUGCAGGUUUUGGUAAUGUUUUCUGGUUUGUUUCGAGGCAUUGCAGAUCCUCGUUUAAUGGUGUUCAGGUGUUCAUGUGUGCUCCUUGUUUGACGAUCUUCCCUUGGUUUGCUGCUUCUCUUAAAUAAGGGUGUGGUCUUUUAUAGUCUUAGAGAGUUUAGGCGUGGGCAUCUUGCUCAGAACAUAUGUUUUUUGAACUUUUUUUUCAGCUAGAUCGAUCUUUAUUGAGCUGGUCUCCUCUCUCUUUGUUCCUGUUCUGCUGUGC
rnacentral:lncRNA from 1 species